GAAAGCCCCUGCUGGGUAAGAGCCAGCCCCUCACCCAUACCGAGUGUUGCGUGGAAGUCCCGAUGAAUCGGGAGCACACGAAGCGUACACAGGGAAACAUAUAGGCCAUAGGGGAGACCGCGCUCCCUGAAGAAUAUUCAGCCCCGUAAAAACAACUCGUGAAAACGAGGAAAAUGUGGAUGGCGAUGUUUUUAACGUAACAGAAGCCAAUACGGCGGAAGACGUAAAGGCAAGUCUUCAGUUGGUCCACCGGGGUCAGAGCACA
rfam:Spirochaetes bacterium RBG_13_51_14 RBG_13_scaffold_782, whole genome shotgun sequence.